rnacentral:rRNA from 2 species
UUGGAGGGCAAGUCUGGUGCCAGCAGCCGCGGUAAUUCCAGCUCCAAUAGCGUAUAUUAAAGUUGUUGCAGUUAAAAAGCUCGUAUUGAAUUCGGGGUUCUACCGUUGGUCGGGCUAACAAGUCUGUACUAGCGUGUAGAAUUCCUACCUUCUGGGGAACCAUCAUGUUAUUAAUUUAGCGUGGUGGGAAACCAGGACCUUUACCUUGAAAAAAUUAGAGUGUUCAAGCAGGCUUACGUCUGAAUACAUUAGCAUGGAAUAAUAAAAUAGGACGGUGGUCCUGUUUUGUUGGUUUCUGAAUCACCGUAAUGAUUAUAGGGAUAGUUGGGGGCAUUAGUAUUCAAUUGUCAGAGGUGAAAUUCUUGGAUUUAUUGAAGACUAACUUCUGCGAAAGCAUUUGCCAAGGAUGUUUUCAUUAAUCAAGAACGAAAGUUAGGGGAUCGAAGACGACAGAUACGUCGUAGUCUUAACCAUAAACUAUGCCGACUAGGGAUCGGACGAUGUUAAAUUUUAUUGACUCGUUCGGCGCCUUACGGGAAAC